AACGUAGGUGGCAAGCGUUAUCCGGAUUUACUGGGCGUAAAGCGUGUGCAGGCGGGGGUACAAGUGGUGUAUGAAAUUUCCCAGCUUAACUGGGAAGGGUUAUGCCAGACUGUACUUCUGGAGUGCGAGAGAGGGGCGUGGAAUUCCCGGUGUAGAGGUGAAAUUCGUAGAUAUCGGGAGGAACACCGGUGGCGAAGGCGGCGACCUGGGUAGAUACUGACGCUGAGGCGCGAAAGCGUGGGGAGCAAACAGG
rnacentral:rRNA from 1 species